AUUGAACGCUGGCGGCAUGCCUUACACAUGCAAGUCGAACGGUAACGGGCCUUCGGGUGCCGACGAGUGGCGAACGGGUGAGUAAUACAUCGGAACGUGCCCGAUCGUGGGGGAUAACGAGGCGAAAGCUUUGCUAAUACCGCAUACGAUCUACGGAUGAAAGCAGGGGACCGCAGGGCCUUGCGCGGACGGAGCGGCCGAUGGCAGAUUAGGUAGUUGGUGGGAUAAAAGCUUACCAAGCCGACGAUCUGUAGCUGGUCUGAGAGGAUGAACAGCCACACUGGGACUGAGACACGGCCCAGACUCCUACGGGAGGAAGCAGUGGGGAAUUUUGGACAAUGGGCGCAAGCCUGAUCCAGCCAUGCCGCGUGCAGGAUGAAGGCCUUCGGGUUGUAAACUGCUUUUGUACGGAACGAAAAGCCUUCUUUUAAUACAGGAGGGUCAUGACGGUACCGUAAGAAUAAGCACCGGCUAACUACGUG
rnacentral:rRNA from 1 species